AGUGAACGCUGGCGGCAGGCCUAACACAUGCAAGUCGAACGCCCUGGCAACAGGGAGUGGCAGACGGGUGCGUAACGCGUGGGAACAUGCCCUUUGGUUCGGAAUAACUCAGGGAAACUUGAGCUAAUACCGGAUAAGCCCGAGAGGGGAAAGAUUUAUCGCCGAAGGAUUGGCCCGCGUCUGAUUAGCUAGUUGGUGAGGUAAUGGCUCACCAAGGCGACGAUCAGUAGCUGGUCUGAGAGGAUGAUCAGCCACACUGGGACUGAGACACGGCCCAGACUCCUACGGGAGGCAGCAGUGGGGAAUAUUGGACAAUGGGCGCAAGCCUGAUCCAGCCAUGCCGCGUGAGUGAUGAAGGCCUUAGGGUUGUAAAGCUCUUUUACCCGGGAAGAUAAUGACGGUACCGGGAGAAUAAGCCCCGGCUAACUUCGUGCCAGCCGCCGCGGUAA
rnacentral:rRNA from 1 species